rnacentral:rRNA from 1 species
AUGCCUCUCAAGGAUGUGUCGUCGUGGACAACCAUGAUUACAGGACUUGCAACGCAUGGUGAGGAGCAGCGUGCACUAAGCAUGUUUGAUGAAAUGAGGAAUGAAGGGGUGCCGCCAAACAGGGUGACGAUGUUGGCAGUGCUCUCUGCUUGCUCACACAGAGGGCUGCUAGAUACUGGGAUGGGCUUGCUGAAGCAAAUGGAAGAUGGGGAGAUUAAGGUAGCACCAACCGUUGAACACUCCGGGUGUGUGGUUGAUAUGCUUGGUAGAGUUGGUUUGGUGGAUAAGGAGCGUGCCUUGGUGGAGCACAGAAUGCCGAUGGAGGCAAAUGUGGUGAUAUGGGGAACAUUGCUUGGUGCAUGUGAGAAGCACUGCAAUGUGAAUGUUGGCAGGUGGGCGGCAGAGCAGCUACUAGCGGCUGUGCCAUGGAAUGACGGGGUUUAUGUAGUGCUGUCCAACAUAUACGCUGCUGCUGGCAUGUGGGGUGAGGUAGAGAUGGUGAGGAAGAUGAUGUCGGAGAGGAAAGUUAUGAAGUUCCCAGGCUGCAGCCUAUAG